rnacentral:rRNA from 1 species
AUGGGGUGCAGCAGGCGCGAACACUUUACAAUGCGGGAAACCGCGAUAAGGGAACCCCGAGUGCCAGCAUCAAAUGUUGGCUGUCCAGAUGAUUAAAAAUCAUUUGUUAGCAAGGGCCGGGCAAGACCGGUGCCAGCCGCCGCGGUAACACCGGCGGCCCGAGUGGUAGCCGUUUUUAUUGGGUCUAAAGGGUCCGUAGCCGGCCUGAUAAGUCCUUUGGGAAAUCUGGCAGCUUAACUGUCAGGCUUCUAAGGGAUACUGUCAGGCUUGGGACCGGAAGAGGUAAGGGGUACUCCAGGGGUAGGAGUGAAAUCUUGUAAUCCCCGGGGGGCCAUCUGUGGCGAAGGCGCCUUACCAGAACGGGUCCGACGGUGAGGGACGAAAGCUAGGGGAGCAAACCGGAUUAGAUACCCGGGUAGUCCUAGCUGUAAACGAUGCUCGCUAGGUGUCAGACACGGUGCGACCGUGUUUGGUGCCGCAGGGAAGCCGUUAAGCGAGCCACCUGGGAAGUACGGUCGCAAGGCUGAAACUUAAAGGAAUUGGCGGGGGAGCAC